UUGCAUGUAUUUCAUAGUGGUUAGAGUAUCUGCCUCGAAUGCAGAAGGUCGUGGGUUUGAACCCCCAUCAUGUCAU